GAUGAACGCUAGCUACAGGCUUAACACAUGCAAGUCGAGGGACCGGCGCACGGGUGUGUAACACGUAUCCCACCUGCCCUUUACUCGGGGAUAGCCUUUCGAAAGAAAGAUUAAUACCCGCUACAAAGGAUGGGGAUGCGUUCCAUUAGUUUGUUGGGCAGGUAACGGCCCACCAAGCCUUCGAUGGUUAGGGGUUCUGGGAGGAAGGUCAACCAAAUUGGAACUGUGACCCAGUCCAAACUCCUACGGGAGGAAGCAGAGAGGAAUAUUCGUCAGUGGGAGUUAGCCUGAAACCGCCAAGUAGCGGGAAGGAUGAAGGGUUAUGGGUGGUAAAAUUCUUUUAUAUAAGAAUAUGUAUUAUAAGAAUAAGGAUCGGCUAACUCCGUGCCAGCAGCCGCGGUAAUAC
rnacentral:rRNA from 1 species